GUUUGCUCCUUAUCGAAGCUGCUGUGGUGUGUGUGGUCCAGCUCAAGUCCAGUCACUCAUCACGAAUGUCCUGGGAGCACAAGGCAUAAACGACCACCUCCUAUAACAGGCCUCAGCCCCUCAAGGGCCGCAGUGACUCGACCCUUGAAGGACCGAAUGGAACAGAAAUGUCAGUGAAGAGACGCGCCUGCGUUAUUAGCCCUCAACUGGGGUGGGUGGGCCCCUUCAGAGGCUGAGGGCUGUUCCAUGGAGCCGGGUGUGAGGGCACGCGGUGCUUCCUGCUCUAGGAUAACCACCAAGGGCGUGACAGCCCUUGUCCGCGCCUGUGAGAACCUGGCCAUUCAGGCUGUGGCAUCUUCCUUGGUCAUUCAUAAGUCAGCGGUUUUGAUAUAGAGCUGGAUUUUUUCUCCUGUGCUUUCUGAUGGUCAUAAAUUCAUACCCACACUAUAAAAGAACAGUCAAUGACAAGUCUGAUUCAGAUGUAUUCGAGGUUUAGCUGACAUUUAAAACCAAACUCAUUCAUCUUUCUCAUGGAUUUUCUUCUUCUUUGAAAACAGAUCAAAGACAUUCUAAAAGGUUCCCUGCGUUUCAACCAGAGCCAGCUGGAAGCCGAGGAGAACGAGCAGAUCACCAUCUCCGACGACCACUACUGCUCCAGCGGCCAGGGUCACCUGCCCAGGGCCACCAAGCAGGUACAGGCGCGUGAGAACACUGUCACAUCAGCCUGAGAAGGAAGGUGGCGGGGGGACGCAAAGUUCAACUGUAAAAUACAAGUGACCUAAGCCAGGGGUGCUGUAGCCAGCUGUGCGAGCUGUGUACUCCAGUGCCCUGGGCAGUGCCCUUCAGAAUAGACUAGCAUCUCCUGGAGUUGUGCAGUGCACAGCCUACACACCUGUACGCAGCAGCUUCGGCCUGAGCCUCCUGCCAGUCCCACCUUGCGGUGUUAGAAAGCCGGAUCUCUGCCUCAGUUAUUGGUCAGUUGCCUUCAGCCGAUGCCUCCAUUCCCCUUUAGCACAAGAAGUACUGUCCAUGCUUUCCUAAUGCUGUCUUGAGUGUACUUCACUGGCCUGGAACGUUUUUGGCCUUCAUGGGGAAGGACUUCUCAAUGUCCAUCCUCUAAGCCACAUAGGUCAGCAAUUUUUUUCUGUAAAGGGCCAGAGAGUAAAUAGUUUAGGAUUUUCAGGCCACAUGUGGUCUCUGUCACAUAUCUGUUUUUGUAUUUGGUAUGCUAGCUUGCUUGUUUUUACAGCCCUUUAAAAUUUACAAAACAGAAACAGACUCACAGACUUGGAGAACAAACUUAUGGUUACUGAGGGAAGAAGGUUGGGGGAGAGGGAUAAAUUAGGAGUUUGGGAUUAACAUAUACACACCACUAUAUAUAAAACAGGUAACCAACAAGGACCUCCUGUAUAGCACAGGGAACUCUGCUCAAUAUUCUGUAAUAACCUAAAUGGGAAAAGAAUUUGAAAAAGAAUAGAUACACGUAUAUGUAUAACUGAACCACUUUGCUGUACACCUGAAACUAACACAACAUUGCUAAUCAACUAUACCCCAAUAU
ensembl:lncRNA